CCCGUGCAAAAUAUCCCCAACUCCACAACCCUAACCCGUGCCUGCCGCCGCUGCCGACCUCGUGCUCGAUCCCCAGUCCUGCCGCCGGCCUCGCGCUCCACCCCGUCGUCAAGCCAUCGUCUCAGAGCUCGCACUCCGUCGCCGCCGAGCUCCACCCCGACAUCCACCCAUCCUUGCACUCCGCCCCCCCUCCCCUCGAGCUCCAUCCCAAGAUCGAGCAUUCGUCCUCGCGAUCCACAUCCAACCGUCGUCCUCUCCCCUCCCCUGACAUCCAGCCGUCGUCCUUGCCAAUCCCCGUCCCUGCUAUUGCUGGGCUCCAUCUCUGGGCUCCCGCAGCUGCCGCACCUGCUUUUGUCGAGACUCCAUAUCCGAGCUCACGCUGCUGCCAGAUCUGCUUCUACUGGACCUGCUGCUGUCGGGGCUGCAUCUUCUGUGCCGCACCCCUCCCGAAGCCAGUCAUGCCCUGAGAUUGCUCCGUCCCUGAUACACUUGAUGAAAUUGUUCCAACACCAAGGGGAAGAGCUCUUUGUUCCUACAUAUUUUCCUAGAUUCAAUGGUUUAGUUGUGAAUAUAUGUUUGAGGAAAUCCAUAUACGUGAAUAGCAAGUGACUAUAUAUGUUAAGGGAGUUAAUUGUUUCAUAUCGGUCAUGUUACUUGUGAUGCCAGAUUGUGCAGUUUGUUUUGUGUAAAAAUACUCCACCCCCAUGUCCUCCUUUUAAUCACUCCCCUUAUACUUUUCUCUGAUCCAGACUUUGUCAUUGAUAACAUUUUUUGGCAGUACUUAGGUGAAACUGCAGAACUAAGAUGGAAGGAAAGGGGCAAUAUGACCAGACUCAAUGAAAUACAUCCAGAUGGUGUGUGAAGGAGUUGUGUAAAUGCAACUUUUGCUGCACUGGUCUUGUGUAAAUGAGUUGCUCACUUUUGCUUCCACGCGCAUAUUCAUGCAAAAUUUUGUAGUCACAGCCUGGAACAAUGACCACCAGCAUGCAGCAUGGGCAAUGGGCGGAGAAUGGGUGGCUACCUCGCUGGGAACCAUGGUUGCGCACGUGCAGCAGAAAGUGAAAUAGUGGAUGGAAAGGCCACCUCACUGGGAACCAGGGCCACGACUUGUAGUGGGCAAUUGGUGGUGAAUGGAAGGCUACCUGGCCGGAUACCUCAACUACUAGGCACUUAGCCACCUGGUGCACAUGGACGUCAUGACUUUGCAGCGUUUAUGGACCAACCAACUUGUAAUCAUGGAUCUGAUGUGUCUUCUAGACCAUUUGGUGCUUCGGGUAUUUCGGAGCUUGCACUUUGUGCAUGUGGAUACAAACUUCUAUGUCCUGGACCAUUUAGUUGAAGUCUCUCAUACCAGCAAAUAGUGAUCAACUUUUUGUGACUCGUGUAUUCUGGGUGAUUGUUAAGAUGGUGAAAACUAUGAUGUGUCAAGAUUGAUGUGUUUGUCAACUUGUGUAUAAUGUAUAUGCAUGUUUGUGAACAUAUUUUCAUUGUUGUA